rnacentral:rRNA from 1 species
GACGAACGCUGGCGGCGUGCUUAACACAUGCAAGUCGAACGGUGAAGCGCCUUCCUUUUUGGUGGGUGUGGAUGAGUGGCGAACGGGUGAGUAACACGUGAGUAACCUGCCCCCUUCUUCUGGAUAACCGCAUGAAAGUGUUGCUAAUACGGGAUAUUCUGGGUCUGUCGCAUGAUGGGUCUGGGAAAGAUAUUGUUUCGGUGGGGGAUGGGCUCGCGGCCUAUCAGCUUAUUGGUGGGGUGAUGGCCUACCAAGGCGGUGACGGGUAGCCGGCCUGAGAGGGUGGACGGUCACACUGGGACUGAGACACGGCCCAGACUCCUACGGGAGGCAGCAGUGGGGAAUAUUGAACAAUGGGCGCAAGCCUGAUGCAGCGACGCCGCGUGAGGGAUGGAGGCCUUCGGGUUGUGAACCUCUUUCGCCAGUGAAGCAGGCCUGCCUCGUUUGUGGGUGGGUUGACGGUAGCUGGAUAAGAAGCGCCGGCUAACUACGUG